CCAGCGGUGGUGGAGAACCUGGAGGUCACCUCCUCUUCAAGCCAACCUUCAGAGUUGGCCUAGAAACAGGGCCAAUUCCUUGCACACCGGCUCAGCUACAUGGCCUAUUGCUUUUGGAAAACAUAAAACACCAGGUGGCCCAACUCGCCACCAUUGUGAACCUGCUCAUGGCCAAGGUCAAUAACGGCCUCCAGCCAGCAGCCUUUGAGUGGUCAGAGGAAUUUCAAUUCCCCCUGGAAUCAGAUGCAGAGCUGGACCGCUUUGAGGCCUGGCUGGUGGACCCUGCCAAUGAUAGGCAGAAACAUGCCCUUGUGAAUACCAUGUCUGCUGUCGGGGGUUUUGAUUUGAAGAGGGUGACAUGGAACAUAUUGUCAUACCUGUUUUCCUGCCCCCUUUCCCGAACAAUUAAUUGGAAGGCUGUUU